ensembl:lncRNA
GGGGUGCACCAUUCACAUUGGUGGAAUAUAAUAUUUGUUUUUCUUUCCACUUACAGAUGGGCAGAACUGUGGCAGGUGUUUGCCACAGAGUGUGAGUGGGUGAUAGCAGUGCCUCAUUAAUUGGAAGGAAAAUCUUUAACAGGAGGAUGAUGUUCAAAAUAUCCACCAGAGUACAGGGACUCCUGGAUCUCUUCUAGCAAAAUAUUUAUGGAAUCUACUUUGUGCUUCAUGAAAUCCUGAAAAGUCCUAAAGUCAUUGGCAUAGGAUGGCAUCUCAUAUGAAGAGGAAGAGCACCUGAAUGAAGAAGGUCUGUGGUUCUUCCUUCUCUGGCAGAAAUCAGAAAUAACUUAAUUGAAGGCAGUGGUGUUACUGAGAUUCAAUCCCUGGACUGUGAAUGGGAGCCAAACAAGCAAUUUUGUUUAGGAAAACCCCUCAUGAUAUGGAAUACAAUUUGAUUGUGCUUCUAAAAAUAAUUUCCAAAUCAUUUCAGAGGGUGUCUCCGCAAAGCUGGCCCUGCAUUAGAUCUGGUUCUUUUCCUGUGAAGAAGAGUUGCAACAUUUUCACUCCAAAUGUCUAUCUGCCUCUAGGGAAACUGAGGAAGAAAUUCUCUAUGAAAGUGCAAAUUGGUGAGAGAAAAACCUGCACUUUUAUGUGAUUAUGAUAUAUUGUGUGCCAAGUAUGCCUUGUGAAAUAUCAUUUGAAAACUCAUAACCUACUGCACAUUAUUAUCCUGGGAAAAGAUGUUUGGUAACUUUAUAUGUAAAGUUAUGACACUCUACUGUAUAAAAAUUAUUUACUGUAACAUGUUACAAAGUUAGAAAAGCUGGUUCAAACUAGUUUUUUCAGAGACAAAAGAACAACGGCAUAACAGCUAGGUGCUAAGAGGCCAUUACUUGCUUAAUCAGAAAUUCACCGACAGGAGAGUGGUAAGCAUGAAAUUUGCAGUUCACCUGAAGGACAAUUGGCAGCUUACAUGAGCCAUGAGACUGCCUGACCUCAUGACCCAACAAAGACUGUUCCAGUACAAAGGGCCAGAGUAUAAAAAGGAGAGACAAUAAUCCCCUCAUCACCUAUCCUCUCCUAUCUCUACUCAUUAAACCAGAGGGAGUGGUCCUAGUUUGAAGGCUUUGCAGUUAAUAUGGACUACUGAAAGUUUUUUUGGGUGAGAGAAACUUUUUAGCUUUCAAAUCUUAUUUAGCUUAGUAGAUUGAGGAAUUUGAUUGCAGUUUUAUCUGUUUAUUUCUUUUGUGCCUAGUUCUGACUUGUAUGUCUUACUAUUUAUAAUCACUUAAAAUCUUUCUGUCUCUAGUUAAUGAUUUUUUUUAAUUGUUUUAUCUAAACUAGUGUGUUUGAGUUGAAGUUUUUGGGAAUCUCUAUUCAGGUUAACAAAGCCUGGUUCAUAAUAAUUUCCUUUGAUAAAAUGAUGGAUUAUUAAUGAACUUGCAUUGUUCAGUACCAUGCUGGACAAUAAAAGGCACAUAUUUUUCUGGGUGCA